rnacentral:lncRNA from 1 species
UAGGUGACCCCAUGGAGUACAAUGCCAUACUGAAGAGAAAGCUGGAUGAGGACCUCAUGGCCUUCAAAAUGUGGAGGGUACUGCUCUUCCCUGCCUUUCUCUAAUGUUUCUUGAACUGUACUCUAUGGGUUGUAGGUUUAGCUGGGCGUAAAAUACUUGAAAUCGAUUGGUUAGUGCUUUUUCAGAAAUAAUACUAAGCUUAUAUAACACAUCUAGUGCAUCCAAACACCUUAAAAGUGCUGUGGAUAGGUAAUCCAUGAUAUAGAGAUAUGAUGUUACAAUUUGUUGAGAUCUAUGCUCUAUUUGGAUCUCUCUAGUAGUUUUUAAGAAUAUGGCUUUUUAGAAACGGGGUGACAUUGAAACAUGCUAGUUUUUGCUGUUUUGUGCCAAAAUUUUAAAACCAGGAAGCUAUUGAUAUCUAGCUUUUUUCAGUCUCGUACCCAUAGAGCAAUAAACGAAGUAAGAUUUUUUUAAACUAGGAUAUUCAAACACUCUCAUCAGUUUUUGCUCAGAAUCUAUAUUUUAGAAACUAAAGACAAAAACAGUUUUUAAAGAAUCUAAAACUGAACUACUCCCUCCUCCUGCAAAAAACGCAAUUCAGCUUUGAACUUUUUUUUUGAGCAACAAUUCUAGCUUUGAACCUGGACAGGUAGGAACUAGAUAGAUCCAAAGAGACUACUAUUUGGAGUCAGUUUGUGCCAGAUUCUUAAAACCAGGAAGCCAUUAAUACCUAGCUUUUGCCAGUUUUUCAUACCCAUGGAGCAAUAAAUGAAGUCGGAUUUUUUAAAACUAGGACAUCCAAACACCCCAACUAGUUUUUUUAGAAUCUAUUUUAGAAACUAAAGACAAAAACUGUUUUUUAAGAAUCUAAAACUAAUCUACUCCAUCUGUCCUAAAAAAAUGUAAUUCUAGCUUUGAACCUGGUCAGGUAAAAGCUGGGUGGGAUCCAAACAGGCUAAUUUUUGUUGUCAAUUUGUGCCAGAUUCUUAAAAUCAAGAAGCUAUUGAUACACAACUUUGUCAGUUUCUCGGUACCCAUAGAGUAAUAAAUGAAGUCAGAUUUUUUAAAACUGGGACAUCCAAACACCCCACCAGUUUUUGCUCAGAAUCUAUAUUUUAGAAACUAAAGACAAAAAAUGUUUUUUAAGAAUCUAAAACUGAUCUACUCCCUCCACCCCACCCGAAAAAAAAACAGAAUUCUAGCUUUGAACCUGGACAUGUAAAACUGGGUGGGAUCUAAACAGGCUAGUUUUUGCUGUCAAUUUGUGUCAAAUUCGUAAAAGUAGGAAGCUAUUGAUAUCCAACUUUUGCUAGUUUCUCGUACUCACAGGGCAAUAAAUGAAGUCAGAUUUUUUAAAACUGGGACAUCCAAACACCCCCAAAAGUUUUUGUUUAGAAUCUAUAUUUUAGAAAGUAAAGGCAAAACUGUUUUUUAAGAAUCUAAAACUGACUUACACCCUCUAUGUCCAGGUUCAAAACUAGAAUUGUGUUUCUUUUGGGCUGGAGGGAGUACACAGGACCUAUGAUGAGCUUAUGCCAUGUUUGUCUAUGCAAACCGACAAACAAUAAUAUGCCACAUCACAGGUCACUGUUCUUGUUUUAUAUGGAGCUAGUGCCACGAGAUUUGUGAUAUUGGAUUGAGCUAUGGCAUGUGUGGGUAUACAAACAACUAAUAACAAUCCAUUAUAGGCAAUAUUUACAAAUGGGCUCUUUACAAACUUAAUGGUUCCAUAAUCUACCGUGCUUUUUGGACGUUCCCACUCAGCAAUUUUUGUUGAAUGUUUCUUUUUUCUAAUGUUUUAACUUCAAAUUUUGGAAUACCCAUCCACAGGCCUCUACUAGUGGUGUGAACUCUGAAGGCUCAAACAAUGAAAAUGGAGGAGGUACUAUCUACUAUGUGCCCUGUUACAUUGUACAGGAAUAUAUGACGGAAUAAUAAUAAUGUUAAAACGCAAAGCUAAUUAAUUAUUAUGUACAAGGCGUACUUUUUUCAUUCCUCUUUAACUCAUUUAGCAGGUAGCAAGAAUCUGGUGCAGAACAAGCUCAAUAGUGCAGAUCCAACCAAUAAUCAUGCACAAAAUGCAGAUCUUCGUGUGAGGUUUGCUACUAGCUCUUCCUCAAGGGAUCCUUCACCAUCAGAUGAGGAUAUGGAUGGUGAAGUAGAGAUUCUGGGAUUUAAGAUGCCUACUGAAGAAAGAGUGAGAAAAAGGUAACAUUAAUUUGCAAGACAUGGUUUUACCUUGCAUCAUCCUUUCAAUAUCAACAAAAGAUAUCUCCCAUGUGAGACUUCUGAACUUAUUUGUUGUUACUUAACUUUAGAAAGGAAUCUAAUAGAGAAUCAGCCAGGCGCUCAAGAUAUAGAAAAGCCGCUCACUUAAAGGACCUGGAGGACCAGGUGUGGUAUCGCAAAUUAUAUUGUUAUUAUAAUACAGUUUUCAUUUGCCUAAUGAAAAAGGAAUCAAGAGUUUGUGAGUAAUUAAUGAGUGUAAAAUGGUGUUUAAUUACAGGUAGAAAAAUUAAAAGCUGAGAAUUCUUGUUUGCUGAGGCGCCUUGCUGCUAUGAACCGAAAGUACAAUGAAGCUAAUGUUGACAACAGGGUACUGAAAGCAGACAUGGAGACCCUAAGAGCUAAGGUAUGAUAUGCUGUAGUAACCGUGUUUUUUUUUAUGCUUUAACACAUCAAAAAUCAUUGAAUCCUGAAGUGCCCUCUUGCAAAUAAUGCUCUCCAUGCAUAGUUUUCUUUUAAGGGACGACAAGAUUUUCCUGCAAAUUUUAUUAGAUGGAAGAAAAUAAAAAAAAUAUGUCUGUAGUUUUUUUUUGACAAGCACAGACGCAGACGCUUAAUAUGCAUGCAUAUUCACCCCUAUCAACAUAAAUACGCAAACACUACCCAUAUGAGCACCUCUAAAAGAUUAUGUCGGCAUAUCUUGAAAUUAACGAAGUCAGCACAAACGCGUCGCUCACAUGGUAUAAAAUCUGGUUGCAGGUGAAAAUGGGAGAGGACUCCCUAAAGCGCGUUAUAGAGAUGAGCUCACUGACCUCCAUACCCAUUCCAGAGCUUCCCAGCAGCUCUGAUGUUCCAGUGCCUAUCCACGAGGAGAUCGUCAACUAUUUCACUACCACCCCAGCAGACGAUGCUUUGGCUGACAACAGCUUCAUGCCCAUGCCAGAGCCAUUGGCAUUGCAACUCCAAGCUGAAGAGCCAACCAUCAAUGGAGCUCUAAAUGCCACAGAGAUGAACCAAAUCGCUACGCACUGCGCGGCAGGGAGCCAACCAUCAAUGGAGCUUAUCCAGGAGACAAUGGGAGCCAUGAUGCCGACCUCCCCCGGAUCAACUCUCCAGGAAUCUGAGCUGCUGGGUCCAAACGAGACCAUAAACAUGCAUACGUAUUAGGCAUUGCAAGUUUUGUAAUCUCGUUUGUAGUGAUCACCUGUGCUUGCACUGCGUGGGCGGACUUGUGGUUUCUUCUUUAUGUCGUGGAAUCCCUGGGAACAUUUGCAGCUGUCGCUGAAUAACUGAAUAAGGCUCAUUGUCUCCCUUGACAUUUCAAAUAAAUUGAGAACCAUGAGUGUUUUUUUUUUCCAGGUACCAAAAGAUUGGUAGAUAGGGAUUGGGAGUUGUUGGAGAUGUGUUUUUCAAUCUUGCCAAAAAUCAAAGGAUGGGGAGAGUGUUUUGGAAACUCUUGGACAUGCUCUGACUUUCCAUUCAGAACAACUCUUAGUGUCAACCACCUAGACUUACAGUGUUUGUGAUGGCCCCCGGAUAAUCUUUGUGACCAUUUGAUCAUGAAAUUUCUGCAUAUUAUACUGCCAGUUCCCAUCCAACCACACUUCAUGCAAUGCUCCUGCUCGUCUAUUUCUACUAGACCAUACUCAUAUCCGUGACAUACUUAGUACACUUAACAACUAAUCUAAAUGUGUUGCCGGGAUCAAUCAUGAUAGGCCUUGUUUAGUUCCUGAAGCGAAAAAUUUCACGACAUUGUAACAUUUUCGUUUGUUUGUGGUAAUUAUUGUCUAAUCAUGGACUGACUAGGUUCAAAAGAUUCGUCUCGUCAAUUCCAACCAAACUGUGCAAUUAGUUUUUAUUUUCGUCUAUAUUCAAUACUCCAUGCAUGCGUCUAAAGAUUCGAUGUGACAGAGAAUCUUGAAAAUUUUUGGGUUUUUGGGUGGAAGCAAACAAUGCCAUAGAAUGAAUCAAGAUAACAAAAUCAAGGAGUUAAACAAUACCCUACACGACACGUUUCCUAAACCAAGAAAACUACCAUUUUCGUAGUAGUUGGAGAUUCAACUUACCAAAUACGCCAACCACUCGAAUCUAUAUUGCUUCACCAACUACACAUAAGCUGCCUACAAAGCAAAGAAGAACAAAACCCGAAUCAAAUUGAAGAACCCUAACCUUAGUCCUCAUCCAACAAUAUAUUGUAAUGCAGACCACAAAAAAGGGUCAGAUGUAGCCACAUACCUUUUCUCCAUCACAAUAGUAGUCCUGCGAAACAACGCUACAAGGAGGGGGGCAGGGGCUUGUGGGCGAGGGCGCCAGGCGGGCAAGCCCUAGGUUGUGCGGAGCAGAAAAAGAAGGGGACA